UUAUUGGUUAUUUGAUGCUGUUUUCACUUAUGUGGAUCGUUUGGUUUCUUUUGUUUUUGCAGUGCUUACACCGCGUCAGUAGAGUUUACAGUUUAUGGGAAUGGCGAUUGUUCCAGGAACAGUGGAGAGGACUCAGUUCUUUGCUGGAGGAUUUAGAUGAAAAGAGAGAGGCUGGUGAGUUAAAAGGAGGUGUGGUUGUUCCUUUUUGUGUCUUUGCACUCAUAGCGAAAUUUAUUAUCAUAUGGUUUUGUUUUGUUUUUA